GACAGAGGGGGCAAGCGUUGCUCGGAAUUACUGGGCGUAAAGGGCGCGUAGGCGGGAUGGCAAGUCGGUCGUGAAAUCCUUCGGCUCAACCGAAGAACGUCGAUCGAUACUGCUGUUCUUGAGGGUUGCAGAGGAGACUGGAAUUCCCGGUGUAGCGGUGAAAUGUGUAGAGAUCGGGAGGAACACCGGUGGCGAAGGCGGGUCUCUGGGUCUUCUCUGACGCUGAUGCACGAAAGCUAGGGGAGCAAACGGG
rnacentral:rRNA from 1 species